ACACAUGCAGUCGAACGAUGAAAGGAANGGAGCUUGCUCCUCUGGAUUAGUGGCGAACGGGUGAGUAAUACGUGAGCAAUGUGCCCUUGACUCUGGGAUAAGCGCUGGAAACGGCGUCUAAUACCGGAUACGACCCUCGGAGGCAUCUCCUGAUGGUGGAAAGAACUUCGGUCAAGGAUCAGCUCACGGCCUAUCAGCUAGUUGGUGAGGUAACGGCUCACCAAGGCGACGACGGGUAGCCGGCCUGAGAGGGUGACCGGCCACACUGGGACUGAGACACGGCCCAGACUCCUACGGGAGGCAGCAGUGGGGAAUAUUGCACAAUGGGCGCAAGCCUGAUGCAGCAACGCCGCGUGAGGGACGAAGGCCUUCGGGUUGUAAACCUCUUUUAGCAGGGAAGAAGCGAAAGUGACGGUACCUGCAGAAAAAGCACCGGCUAACUACGUGCCAGCAGCCGCGGUAAUACGUAGGGUGCAAGCGUUGUCCGGAAUUAUUGGGCGUAAAGAGCUCGUAGGCGGUUUGUCGCGUCUGCUGUGAAAACCCGAGGCUCAACCUCGGGCUUGCAGUGGGUACGGGCAGACUAGAGUGCGGUAGGGGAGAUUGGAAUUCCUGGUGUAGCGGUGGAAUGCGCAGAUAUCAGGAGGAACACCGAUGGCGAAGGCAGAUCUCUGGGCCGUAACUGACGCUGAGGAGCGAAAGCAUGGGGAGCAAACAGGCUUAGAUACCCUGGUAGUCCAUGCCGUAAACGUUGGGAACUAGAUGUGGGGACCAUUCCACGGUCUCCGUGUCGUAGCU
rnacentral:rRNA from 1 species